GCUUUGUUAAGCGUUGUAACCCAACCCGUGAGAGACGUGCUGACCGAGGGCGUUGAAGGCGUCGUGAUGGAGACUGGUGCUGUGUCCACAUCCAGGCCAUUGGUCAUUCUGGCCUGACAAGAGAGCUCUGGCUGCUUCUUGAAGGAGAUCGUUUGUUUCAUUCACAUCUUUAAAAAUACUGGUGCCCUCAUUACAUCCUGGCACAAAGCUUGUGUUCAGUGCAUGUUUGCUCGGCCCUGCAAGAGGCUCAAGGGUGCUCAAGGCUUCUGAUCAUUCUUUCCCUUCACCGAUGUUUCCAAUAUUCACGACAACAGUUAACAUCAGCAACGUAUAAACAGCUCUUUCCCGUCUCAAGAACCAGAGAAACAGCCCAGGAAAAAUGGAUGGAAGCUAUAAAUAGGACAUUCUCAAAGCAAGAAUUCCACAAGGCCAGUAAUCAUGUGAAAUUUUCUUUCAAUGACACUAGUUAUGUUUUACCAGCUUGGUUUUUCUUUCUUUCCCAGCAAAUUGACGACAAUGUCGACAUGCCCUCAUGCACAGAGUCUAUGGCACAGGAUUGCCACCCUCUUGAGACAUCCUUUCAAUUAUCCAGAGAUCCUGGGGCUUACAUGGUCCAAAGGGCAUCCGUCCUGCUUCCAAACAUGAGGCAAAGAGAAGGAGAACGGCGUUGACGGGGAUUUGGCUGAAACUGGAAGGCAGACUGCAGACUGUGAAUUCUUUUAUCCCCUUAUCAUCUCUGGGAGCAGUCAUUACUUGUGAGUUAGGAAAAACAGCUUUCGGUCCUGCGACGGACGUCCAGGGGCUCAUGGAGCAUCUUCUCUCCAGACGGGACGCGUCAGCCCUGUCCCCGCUCAUGGUCACACCUUCUCCUGGGGGCCCAGCUCCUCUGCCUCCUUGAGGGUGAAUCUGCUCCCUGCCGUCCAUGCACGUUUAGCAAAUUCAGGGGGAGAGUGUAAUGUGGCAGCCUGUGAGCAGGGCGCGUGAUCUGUGGGCAGGAGGCACUGUGGGGACCGUGGGCAUCACAGUGGACCUGCCUCAUGUUCAUAGUUUUAGUUAGGUAUGAAUAUGCCUUAACUUAUUUCACAACAUGUAGAAAUUAUAAGCAGGAAAACAGAAGCAUGCAGAGCCUGCGUUUGCAGAUCUUUAACUGAAAUGCUUACAUUCGAGUGUGAUGCUUGGAUAAACAUUAGACGUGAGAGUGACUUUGGCUGGUUCUGGUGAACUAUAAAUAAGAACAGUUUUCAGCUGAAAGAGCACAGGAUGAUCAUUUUACUACUUAACAACCCUGCUAAUUUGACCUUUGGAGGCGUCAGUGGUUGCAUCCUGUAUUCCAGCUUGCAGGAACACAGGAACGGUUUUCUUCCUAAUUCCUUUGAUGGCUUGACGGUCUGUGUUCAUAUAACUGGAACCUGGCUGAGAAAUACUGGACCGUGAUUCACCAGAGGCAAGAUCGUUGGGUCAAAAGUCCACGGGCUUCGGAUUGAGAAGGAUCCAGGUUCAAGUUCAAAUUCUGCAGUUUACUGUCUACAUGAACUUUAUUGGACCGUUUCUCUUUCCUGGUCCCUGAACCCAGGACAAAUGAAAAGACUCAGCACAGGUAGUUCAGGGGUUGGUUGAGGAGGUAGAAGUACACCCACGGGGUAACAAGGAAGAUGCCACAGUCAAGUGGUGACGCACGGGGCACACUGAGUCUGAGAGAGAGAACACCUUGGGAUUGUGAGGAAGCUUACACACUGCUCCUGAGAUGACACAUCCACAGUGGUUUGUACCAUCUUUUCAUCACUGAGACAGAAAUGGCCACAACGCAGAAGAUUCUCAUAUGCUGGGGCGUUGCUAGCACUUUCCUGCGUUCAGUAUUAAAGCCACUCGGUAUUUUAAGUAGACCAAGGACCCCUGAAUAUUCAGCUUCCUGCUUCUGGGAUGCUGGCCUCACUCUGGUUCCCUUGCCUGGGGGCCUUGGGCUCUCAGGGGAGAUGCUAACAGUGGGUGUCUGCCCUGCAGAGGGAGGUCCAGCUAAUGAGGGUCGGGCAGGGAGGGGUCCGGGCAGAGGAGGAUGGGAUGGGGGCGUCUGCCUUCACUCCCUCCAGCCCCAUCCAUGCAGCCCUGAGCACGUAGAGGAGAGAGAGCCCACCGCCCCGUCCUGAGGGGUCUCCAGGUUGGGGGCAGCAGCUCCGGGAAGGUGGUGGCCUGAGCACCGUGACCGGAUACGAGGCCCCUUUGAGAAGUUGCCACCAUCUGAGAGGACACCCUCCUCUGACCUGUUUCACAGCAGAGCUGACUUGCGGUGACUAUUGCAGGACUUGGGGACUUCCUGGGAGAGAGAAGUCUCCAGUGCCGACUUCCCUGAGCUUCUGUUUUCUCACUGCAGCCUGGGAGGGGACAUCCUUCCACAGGGCUGUGGUGAGGUUUGAUCUCAGGUUCCCCGCCUGCCUUGGCUGCCUCACCCCACACGUGCUUUCCUGUCCAUCCCCAAAGCUCACCACCUCCUGCUCGCCCUUCCAUGUUCGGGGUUCCUCCUCCGAGACCCCCAGGACUUUGGUUUUCCUCCAGCGGUUCCUGCCCUGCCCCACCGCUGCGCCUGUGGACCGCCCUCCCUACACCCACAUCCAGGCUGAUGGAUCGCCUGCACCCUCCCCGCCCUAACCUCUGUCUCACUUCCAGAAGGCAGUCAACGACACACCCGGGCCUGGGGAACUGCUCUCCCCCAGGAAGUCCCCUUGCUAACGAGACGCUCUGUCCUCCCCAUGUCCUCCACGCCCUCACCGAGCACGGUGGCCACUCCAUCCUGUGUCCAGGGCUUUCAUCAGCCUGGUCCUCUUCUCUACACCCCCCGCAUCUCACAUCCACGCCCCCCGCAUCUCACCUCCACGCCCCCCGCAUCUCACCUCCACGCUCCACGCAUCUCACCUCCGCGCCCCCCGCAUCUCACCUCUGUCCUUCCAGCCCUGGACACAGAGUAUAAUUAAAAUUCACUCUCACCGCCCCAUCAAUGUUCUUAACUCACUCACUCUACAAAUAUUUACUGAACGACAAGGCUGUUCAAGGCCAUCUCUUCCACUUCCUUCUCUUGCGUCUUCACAUCCACUUACAGCUCCCUCUCCUUGGUUUAGUCACUCGUUACACGCCCAUGUUUUAUGAACUCUAAGCAAUACUGAUCAUAAAAUGUACCAUUACAUUAUAAGCUGCAGAGAAUGAAAAAAAUGCUGCCAAUAAACAUUGAGAACUGCCA